CACACCGCCCGUCGCUACUACCGAUUGAAUGGCUCAGUGAGGCCUUCGGACUGGCUCGGGGAGGUUGGCAACGACCACCCCGAGCCGGAAAGUUCGUCAAACUCGGUCAUUUAGAGGAAGUAAAAGUCGUAACAAGGUUUCCGUAGGUGAACCUGCGGAAGGAUCAUUACCCAAUUUCGGGGACCUCACGGUCCUGUCUGAACCCUUGUCUUUUGCGUACCAUUUGUUUCCUUGGUGGGCUUUGCCUGCCUGUAGGACACUAUAACAACCUUUUGUAAUUGCAGUCAGCGUCAGAAACAACAUAAUAGUUACAACUUUCAACAACGGAUCUCUUGGUUCUGGCAUCGAUGAAGAACGCAGCGAAAUGCGAAAAGUAGUGUGAAUUGCAGAAUUCAGUGAAUCAUCGAAUCUUUGAACGCACAUUGCGCCCCUUGGUAUUCCAUGGGGCAUGCCUGUUCGAGCGUCAUUUGUACCUUCAAGCUCUGCUUGGUGUUGGGUGUUUGUCCCGCUAUAUGCGUGGACUCGCCUUAAAGCAAUUGGCAGCCGGCGUACUAGCCUGGGAGCGCAGCACAUUUUGCGUCUCUCGGCUGGAGCGCUUGCGUCCAUCAAGGCUACAUUUUUUGCUCUUGACCUCGGAUCAGGUAGGGAUACCCGCUGAACUUAAGCAUAUCAAUAAGCGGAGGAAAAGAAACCAACAGGGAUUGCCCUAGUAACGGCGAGUGAAGCGGCAUCAGCUCAAAUUUGAAAUCUGGCUCUUUCAGGGUCCGAGUUGUAAUUUGCAGAGGGCGCUUUGGCGUUGGCAGCGGUCCAAGUUCCUUGGAACAGGACGUCACAGAGGGUGAGAAUCCCGUACGUGGUCGCUGGCCUUCGCCGUGUAAAGCCCCUUCGACGAGUCGAGUUGUUUGGGAAUGCAGCUCUAAAUGGGAGGUAAAUUUCUUCUAAAGCUAAAUACUGGCCAGAGACCGAUAGCGCACAAGUAGAGUGAUCGAAAGAUGAAAAGCACUUUGGAAAGAGAGUCAAAUAGCACGUGAAAUUGUUGAAAGGGAAGCGCUUGCAGCCAGACUUGCCUGUAGUUGCUCAUCCGGGCUUUUGCCCGGUGCACUCUUCUGCGGGCAGGCCAGCAUCAGUCUGGGCGGUUGGAUAAAGGCCUCUGUCAUGUACCUCCUUUCGGGGAGGCCUUAUAGGGGAGGCGCCAUGCAGCCAGCCUGGACUGAGGUCCGCGCAUCUGCUAGGAUGCUGGCGUAAUGGCUGUAAGCGGCCCGUCUUGAAACACGGACCAAGGAGUCUAACAUCUAUGCGAGUGUUUGGGUGUCAAGCCCGAACGCGUAAUGAAAGUGAACGGAGGUGGGAUCCCUUUAGGGUGCACCAUCGACCGAUCCUGAUGUCUUCGGAUGGAUUUGAGUAAGAGCAUGGCUGUUGGGACCCGAAAGAUGGUGAACUAUGCUUGAAUAGGGUGAAGCCAGAGGAAACUCUGGUGGAGGCUCGCAGCGGUUCUGACGUGCAAAUCGAUCGUCAAAUUUGGGCAUAGGGGCGAAAGACUAAUCGA
rnacentral:rRNA from 1 species